rnacentral:rRNA from 1 species
AACGAACGCUGGCGGCAUGCCUAACACAUGCAAGUCGAACGAAACCUUCGGGUCUAGUGGCGCACGGGUGCGUAACGCGUGGGAACCUGCCCUUAGGUUCGGAAUAACUCCCCGAAAGGGGUGCUAAUACCGGAUAAUGUCUUCGGACCAAAGAUUUAUCGCCUUUGGAUGGGCACGCGUUGGAUUAGCUAGUUGGUAGGGUAAAAGCCUACCACGGCGACGAUCCAUAGCUGGUCUGAGAGGAUGAUCAGCCACACUGGGACUGAGACACGGCCCAGACUCCUACGGGAGGCAGCAGUGGGGAAUAUUGGACAAUGGGCGAAAGCCUGAUCCAGCAAUGCCGCGUGAGUGAUGAAGGCCUUAGGGUUGUAAAGCUCUUUUACCCGGGAUGAUAAUGACAGUACCGGGAGAAUAAGCUCCGGCUAACUCCGUG